GGUCACAUUCUUCUUUACAAUCCAUUCCUUCUUCAUUUGUUUCCCCUGCUGUUUAACUCUAGCUUUCAGAUUCCUUAUGUCUACCUGUUCCUCCUUUUCCUUUUCUGAAUUGUCAGCAGAGUACCAACAAUCAAGUGCAUCAUGACCAAACUUGAGGCAAUGGUUACAAAAGGUAGGUUUCCAGUCAUACUCAACAGUCUGAAUCUUAGGGCCAUAAGGAGUGUCAAUCUCCAGCUCAUUAGGAAGAUUGUAAGCAGCAUCAACUUCAACAAGCACUCUAGCAAAUGAAAUUUUAUCAUAAUGAGCAGUAAAUUUAUCAGUAUA
rnacentral:lncRNA from 1 species